rnacentral:lncRNA from 1 species
GAAAUUGGUGGACGUUCGAGCAGCCUGGGUCUUCGUUGGCUUCAUGAGUGGAGGUCUUCGAGCUGGCGGACGAAGGAACCGACCGCGGACGUGCGGCAGCUGCUUCAGUGGGAUGCUGCUGUGGAUGCGUGGAGUUGCUCCUCCGUGGAAUGUGGGCUGAGCGUCGAGCAGCAGCAAGGUCGCACGGGGUCUUCGGUUGCUGAUGGUUGACCGGUGGAAGCUGGCUCACGGACAAGUGGCCGUGAAUGAAGGGGAGGAGAAGCAGUCGGUGGGAUGGCACGUAGCUGAGGGGAACUUU